rnacentral:rRNA from 1 species
GAUGAACGCUGGCGGCGUGCCUAAUACAUGCAAGUCGAGCGAACAGACGAGGAGCUUGCUCCUCUGACGUUAGCGGCGGACGGGUGAGUAACACGUGGAUAACCUACCUAUAAGACUGGGAUAACUUCGGGAAACCGGAGCUAAUACCGGAUAAUAUAUUGAACCGCAUGGUUCAAUAGUGAAAGACGGUUUUGCUGUCACUUAUAGAUGGAUCCGCGCCGCAUUAGCUAGUUGGUAAGGUAACGGCUUACCAAGGCAACGAUGCGUAGCCGACCUGAGAGGGUGAUCGGCCACACUGGAACUGAGACACGGUCCAGACUCCGACGGGAGGCAGCAGUAGGGAAUCUUCCGCAAUGGGCGAAAGCCUGACGGAGCAACGCCGCGUGAGUGAUGAAGGUCUUCGGAUCGUAAAACUCUGUUAUUAGGGAAGAACAAAUGUGUAAGUAACUAUGCACGUCUUGACGGUACCUAAUCAGAAAGCCACGGCGAACUACGU